UAUUUCUUUUGUGUUACCAUUUUUGUCUUUCUCCUCUCUCUCUCUCUUAAUCUUUUCUUAAUCUCUCUAUCUGCCGAGCUACUCGGGCUUGGGUCCUCUCUCUGUCUCUCUUAAUCUUUUCUUAAUCUCUCUAUCCGCUGAGCAACUCGGGCUUGGGUCUGAGGCCGAGUAGGGGUGAAUUCCACAACAACUUGUUGGGAUCCCAAAAAAAAUUAUAAUUCAAAUAUAAAAUAGUUCUUAAAAAAUAAAAAUAGCACUUUAUUUUUGGAUGAUUUUAAGGGAUUUUAGUAUGGUUUGGGAAAUUUUCUUAAGACAUGUUCCAAUCUUUUAUUUUUUCAUUUACUUGAUUUUUCUGAAAUAUUAACAGUAUAAAUCAAAUUUUAAAAAAUCAAAAGUAAGUAAUAGAAAUAAUUAAAAGAAUAGAGAAUAAGAGAAAAUACAUAAAUGAUGGAAUACUUA
rnacentral:lncRNA from 1 species